rnacentral:lncRNA from 1 species
UGAUACCUCUCGUUUGCCAAAUUAUCUAACCAAAACACGCUUUGACUAGACCUAGCUUUACAAAUUCAACCUAAACAUGCUCUAAGAUUAUAUUGAAAAAUAGCAUUAAAUUUUAUACAAGCUUCCUAACAAUGUUCAUUUCUUCUCGUACACUCGUAAGUGUGAAAACAUGUUAUAUAUGUUCUACAAUAAGAAAACCUAUUGUUUGUUACCAAUCAUUAACUUAAUAUAACGAUUAGGUGUCCUAAAAGUUAAUUAACUACACAAGAAUUCAAUUCAUAUGAGUGGUCAAUCAAACAUAAAUCAAAUUCAAUGAUUUUAGUUAAAACAAGAACAUAAUCACUAGAAUAUAAUCAUAAAUCAAAUAUUAAGUCAUAUGCUUCAAGUCAAGCAAUCAACAUGUUUUGAACAAGAACUAUAAAUUAAUGUUUCUUAGCCACACAUGGUUAAGAACAAAUCAACCAACAAAAAAGAUGAAAUUGGAAUUGUUUAAUGCUUACAAAUGGAAAUAAAAAAAUGUUUGCAAUGAUUUGGUAUCUUCAAAAGCUCCAAAAUUCUCCAAAAAUUGCCUCCAGUUGUUCUCAAAACCGUUUCCUCCUAUCAAAAUGACGAUUUCGUACUAUUUAGCCCCACAAAUAACUGUUCGCGUGCUUGCCAUAAGACAAUGCUUUUUUAGCAUGACAAUAUGUUUUCAGUAUGGCCAUGUGUUUUCAGCAUGGACGUGUUUUUUGCUAAAACUCAAAUAAGUCUUCAAAUCUAUCUUCGAUCUAACUUCACCCCGAGUCAUGUUGCUAAGAUAAAAAUGACAAACAUGACUCGUGUCAGUGUGACAUGGAUCAUGCAUCAAAAGUGGUCUUUUGCCAUGAUAAAAUGCAACGACUCGGGUUAUGUCUUCAAGUUCUCUUUCGUAACACAACCAAUCCAUCUUCUCUUCAUGCUCCAAGCUCCAUCAUCUAAGCUCCAUUCUAGCCUCCGUAACUCCAAUGCUCUGCGCUCUAUAAGCCUGCAAAAUAAAUCAAAAGAUAGUAAAGUACCAAACAUUCUAAAUAAAAUAUGUAAGUGCCCAAAUAGUUAAUUAAAUACAAGAAUUAGGAAGUAAAACACAAUGAAAAGAUAGGAAUAGACGUCUAAAAUAGGUGCACAAAAUGCACCUAACAAACCUCUUCAAGCUUAACCUUUCUUGUCCUCAAGAAAGAACGAGAAUCGGGCAAAACAAAAUUUCUAGAUGGCAAAAAGAAACAUAAAGCAAAAGGGACAAAAAGACCCUAAAUGAGCUAAGAAUGAAUGCAUGAACAAAAACAAUGAAAAUAACAUAUUUACAAAAGAAACUAAGAAAAUAAGCUUAAGAAAGUUUCAAAAAAAUAAAAGGAUUUUUUUUUCGAAUUUCAUAAUUCUACUUGUUCGAUCACCAGGGGUACGAAAGUCAAUUACCAAUUAUCCAAACACAAAAUGUUAUCCAUUUAUUGUUCUCACUUUAAGUAAGUGUCAACAUAGUCAAACCUUGGACGUCAUCUUUUAAAUGACAACAUGGGUUCGGAGUUCAAAGUCAGAGGGUCGUGAGACUUUACACGAAAGUCACCGAUUCAGUAGUUUUGAAAAUGUAGACAACCCUGGUGCCAAAUUACUUUAUUUGGGAAGGUACCAUAUAUCUAAAAAGGGACCGCUCCUCUAAAACUCUCUCAAUGUACUCCCGGUUGACUCAACAUUUCAAUCCAUCCCAAUGCUCACUGUUCAUCUCAGGCUUCCUGCCAAAGGUAUCAAUCAUUGCAUCCUUCCGAGAUCUUGUGUUGUUCGUGUCUUUAACCUUCAACUUGACUUCUUUGACUUGCUUUGAUAAACUUUGUCUUUCGCUUCUUCAAGUUGCUUUUUAAUUAUUUGAGGUUGAUUUCUUUUUAUUUGACUUGCUUUGCUUCUGAAUCUCUUUGGUGUAAGACUUGGCUUGUGGAUUCUUUCUUCUAUUGUAGCUUUAUUGGUUCUUGAAUCAUUUGCUUGUAUAGAUUUUAGCCCGAUUAGGUGUAAUGGCCAACCAAGUCUUCAAUACUUCAGACGAUGUGUGAACAGGUGGAUGCAACAAAAUCUCCCUUCAAGAGGUCUACUCAAAAGUGAUUCUAAAGAUGGUUGUCCGGUCAUUUCAAACAAGAGUUGGCGUGAAAUAUCGAGUUUUAAAGAGCGCGGUAUUUUCAAAAGCUGUUUUACCCUCCUUUACUCCAUAACUCAACACAGAAAAUCAUCUACCCUCUAUUUUUGAGUUACCAAACCCACGACAAAGAUGACACCGUCAGGUCUAGCAUUCUUUGUUUGUGCGACACAUUCAAAGUGAGGAGUUAUUUAAUUUCUAUUUUUUCUUUGGACUUCAAGGUGGUCAACUACUCGUACCCUUUAUGAUUUGAUGUGUAUAUAUAUAUAUAUAUAUAUAUAUAUAUAUAUAUAUAUAUAUAUAUAUAUAUAUAUAUAUAUAUAUAUAUAUACUCCAANNNNNNNNNNNNNNNNNNNNNNNNNNNNNUAUAUAUAUAUAUAUAUUUGAAAUGCAAACUAAGAAUAAGUUGAAAUUAAAUUUUUUUUGUAAUUUUUGGUGAUUAAAAAUGCAAAAUGCAAAGAAAUAAAAUAAAAUAAAAAAUGAAAAUAUUUUUGUAAUUUUGUUUGUAUGCUUUGAAAUGAAUACACUUAAAAAAUGAAAAUAAGAAAAGCAAAAUCUUUUUGGGUUAUUGAAAUGUUUUUGAUGAAAUGCAUGAGGAAACUAGAACCUAAUAUACAAAGACCUUCCCAAAGCUUAAGAUUAAGCAUUGUCAUCGAUGCUCAGAGAGGCCUACCGAGUGGUGGGAGGAUGAGGCGGAGGUUGACCGCGAGGGGUCCAACACCGCAUAAACUCAGAAUGAAUAUUUUGUACUGUUUGUGCCAAUUGAUGAAUGGAUGCAUUGGUUGCAGAUAAAUUAGCUUGAAUGUCUGCAACAACUUGAUCAAGGAGAUCAAAACGCCUCAUGUAUGUGUCGUGGUACUGAGUCGCCCGGUUGGUGUAGAUGUAAUGGGUGGUCUCUACCGGGACAACAGAAGUUGAUCCUCCUGCAGUGGGAGGAGUAAAGUGAGCGAGGGGGACAAAAGGAGUAGCACUGGUUUCGUCUUCGUGGUCGACGAUUAUCCACUUAGGAGAUCGCGGGAUGGGCUUAGCAGAAAUGUUAUUUAGCAAUAACCACCGUGUCUGAGUGAUGUCCUGUUGGAGUUGGAGGGAACUGAAAUCCCCAGCAGGAACUCAGAAAUGAGGUUUUUUCUGCACCCACCAUGUAAGACUACCUUCACUCUCUUUGCGGAAGAAAGAUGAGGUUUCAAGGACAUUAGACGUGAGGGCAUUGGAGCCUUGUGUGAUUUUCUCGAGAUCAGGGCGUUUCUCCUCAAAAAGUUCGGCACAAGCAAGGCGAGUGGCAAGAUAAGUGACUAUCCCGCCACAAUGAAUGGGGUCGGAAUCACUAGUGGAAAUCUUGACAAGUUUGGAGGCAAGAAAGGCGCCAAAAUGUGGUCUUUUAAGGCCAGUGACCAUGCACUAAAGAAGUUCUAGCUCCAUUUUACUAGUUUUGCUUGUAUCUUCUUGGGGGAAGACAACAUUAGAGAUAAUUUGGAGGGCCACCCUUAAGACCGGAUGAAUGAUUUGAGAAGCUUUGGCGGAUCGAGCCUCGUAAGAAUCCAACCCUAUGAUUUCCAUCCAAAAGUCCUUAGCUUUGAAGAGGGUAUUUUUUUCUCGCUUAAAUCCUAAAUGAGGACCAUAAGUAUUGUCCGUAGAGAUCCCUACAAACCCACUAAGAUCGUCUAGCCUUGGAAAAAAUUGCAAUUGCAUGAGGCGGAAUGAGAGUCUUUUGGAAUCAUCAUUGAAAUGCAAAGAUUGUAAGAAUUCAAGAGUUGUGUUUUUGAACGAAUCCAUAGGUGUUAAAGUUAAUACUCUCCCACCCGAUAUUGCUAAAUAGCCGAAAGACCCCAUCAUAAACUCCUAUUUCUUGGAGAGUGGGAAUGUGUACAAACCGUUGUUGAGAGUAUUCACGACCCUUUAGGUGACAGUAACGGUCACGCUCCUCCAGAGAACGGUGCACAAUGGUGGUGACACCAUACUUGGAUUCCCAUUCCUCCUUUGGCUUUGGAUUCUUGUGUUUUGUCAUGGUGCUAACAAGCCAAAUGUAUAUGACAGACAAAGUAUGAUCAAAAGCUAAAGCACAACUAGGCAAAGUAUGACCAAAAGCAAAAGCAUAACUAUUGAGAUAGGAAUGUAUAACUAUAUGAAGCACGCGAACGAAUUUUCAACAAUUCUAAUCAAACUAUCUUAAAAUUCAUGCAUUAAACUUGAGAUAUGGAAGGAAUGUACCAGUCAAAUGCUUGAAUUGGUGAUGUGUUCUUGACUUUUUCACUUCAUCUUCAACCUCAAGAAGAGUUUGAACUCAUCAAUGGUGGAAUGCACAAUUACAGAUGAAAGCUUUCAAUCUUUCUUCCAAAACACCUCCCCAGGCUUGCUCCCUACAUAAGAAUUUUGAAAUAUAAUACAAAAAUCAAAUAAAAAUUUACAAAUCAAAAACUAGGGUUUUAUGCAAGAUCCAAUUUUUACACCUUCAUGGGAAGAAUUCGACCUAGAUGAUGAAGGAGGUGAGGUUAGGAUGAAAAAAUUGCAUACCAUGGUGCUUUAAUCUCGGAUUGAUUGAAGAGAUUGAAAGAAAAUCGAAAGUUUAUUAUUAGGGUUUAGGAAUCAUCACGAGGGUUAUGUGAGUGUCGAUAUCGUGUUUAAUAAUCGCAAGACCAAAUGGCACGGUGGUACAUCAAAACACAUGGCCUUUUUUUUGCCUGAGAGAAUCAGGACCCGACACACAAGCCGUUCAUUUUUCUCAAAAAAAAAUCAAAUUUGUGUAUCCCACACUUGGUUUAGAAAAGCGUGCUUUAAGUGUUAGGGGCCAAUGCGAUUAGCCUAAGAGCUUGAGACCCUAUAAUGUGAUGUGUUCCUUAACUCACUCGACUCGGACCGCUUUUGGCGUUUUUCAGUGACACGGUAAGCGGCGCUUAAGCGUGCCUUGAUGAGUUACGUGCUUUUAAUUAGAUGGUGGGCCGUUAGGUUUAAAUAAAUUAAUAAAAAAAACUCUUGGAAACCAAGAGUCGCACAUCGCAUGACAAAGAUUCAGAUGCGGCAAAACAUAAUAAAAAAACAUUUUUUUCAUCAUCUUCUCCAACCGUUUCUCCAAGAAUUCCAAAUUGCUUUCUACCUUCUUCAACUCAACGGUGCUUCCAGAGUUCCAAUCUUCCACUAAACAUCAAGAGUUCCAGUCUUCCACUAUGUUUCCUACUUCCAUUCUACCCCAAUUCUACUCUCAACUCAAGUUUCAUCAUGCAUUCAUGUGAUCACGUAUGGAAGUCAAUAUAGGUAUAUAACUCACUUUUUAAUGUAGAUUUCCAAUUAAAUCUUGGACUAAUCUUAUAUUGAUAUGAUGUUUAAAGUUUAAACUUUGUUAUAAUUUAUAACUUAUAUUCUUAUAGUUAAAUCAUAAAUUCAUAAUAUCAUAUAUUCAUAUAUGUACUCUGUGUAUUGUAAUCUGUAUUCUGUAAUUUCCCCUGUAAUAUAUUAAUAUUUAAUACUAGAUUACUAUUUACUAGUAUACUAUCAAUCUACUAUACUCUUUUUUUUUACUAUUAUUCACUUAAUCACUUGUUUGAAUGUUCAGUUGUUCAUUGAUUCAUGUUGUUACACUUACGGAGUAUUGUAGUUAUGUUAUGUUGUAAUUUGUGUUGUUGAACAGUUAUGUUAUACUUUAUCUCUAACUAUUAUGAACUUAUGUUGUAAUGUUGUUAAAGUGUCAAAUUGUUAAUUAACAUCGGUUUUGUUACUGUUUAUAAAAUGGGUUCAACUUCAGAUGACCAGGUAUGAGAUAUGGUAAACAAGAUCCAAGUAAUAAAAACAACUUUUCUUGCUCUUUUUGUUGACAAGUUCUGAAAGGAGGAGUAUAUCUCCUCAAACAACACUUGGUUGGUGGUCAUAAAGACGAAAAGAAAUGCCCAAAUUGUCCCGAGCAUGUACGAGAAGAAUGUAGGGCAUUCAUAGAAAAGAAGCAAUCAUUAAAGGCACAACAACAAAUGGAAGCAAGUUUUCAGAUGCAACAAGCUUAUGGAUACAAGGGCGUUGAAAAUAAAGAGGAAGAUAUUGAGGUAGGCGAUAGUAGCAACAUGCCCCCUCCCAAAAAACCAAGAUAAAAAACAUGUAUUAUCCUCCUAACCUGCAAGACGCAAUGAAAGGUAAGAAGGAUAGGAAACAAAUCAUCAACGAAGUUUGUCGAGAGGACCUUAGAGAUAAAGUAGAGUGCCUAUACUAAAUAACGAAGUAAAAGAUGUUCAAUGUUAUCGGAUGGAUCCAUGGUGCAAAAAGACAUCAUCAACUUCAUGUGAGCUCCCAAAAGGGUUCGGUAUUCAAGAGGUCACUUGAUUUUUCGAUGUUUCAAAAGAUGUAGAUUUGUUGUUCCGUAUUCUUGAUAAAAUGGUAGAGGAAGUUGGUGAAAAAAAUGUGGUACAAGUGGUGACCGAUAAUGAAUGCAUCAGCUUAUGAGAAGGCGAGUAAGAUUUUUAACUUUUAACCUUAGUCUUUUAUCUUUUAUGAAUGUUAAUAUCUUGUCUAAUGGCAUCUACUUUUUAUCUAUAAACUUUGUAGGGAAGUUGAUGGAAGCUGAAAGACCAAAUCUUUAUUGGACACCAUGUGCUACACAUUGCCUAGAUUUGAUGUUGGCAGAUAUUGGCAAACAAGUUCCAAGAGUGAAAAGUGCAUUAAAGAAGUUCACAAACCAAAGAAACUUACAUAGGUCGGCUAUCACAAGAUUUGCAACAUCAUUCAUCACUCUUGCACUAAUCCACAAACAGAGAACCAAUUUGAGUAAUAUGGUGAUUUCUAAAGAGUAGGAAACAUCUAGGUGGUCUUCAGACGGGAAGGGGAUAAAAGUUAAAGGCUACUUUAUGCAAUAAACAUUUUGGAGAAAUGUACAUUAUGCUGUUAAGUUGACGAGUCCACUAAUUAAGGUUCUUAGGAUUGUUGAUGAAGAAAAAUAUCCGGCCAUGGGCUGCAUUUAUGAGGCCAUGGAUAUGGCUAAGGAGGCCAUUCAUGAUAGCUUUUCGAAACCGGAUGACUACAAGACAACUUUUUAUAAAGAUGUAAGUGGGGUAGCUUGUGAAGAAGUAGAAAAACGUUUGUAUGAUUGCAUUAUGAGGCUUGUUCCCCAGCAACGAGAUCAAGACAAGAUUUCAAAGGAAUUGGAUAAAUAUCAGAAUGCACAAAGACUAUUUGGUAAUCCUAUGGCUGAUAGACAUCGGGAAACAAAAUGACCAUGUAAAUUCCUACUUAAUUUUUUUUCUUCUAAAUUCUAAUUUAUAGUCUUUGACUUUAUGUUUUUUUUAUAGUUGAUUGGUGGGAGCAUAUGGAUCAUCAACUCCUAAUCUAAAAAAUUUUGCUAUAAAGGUUCUUAGUCUCACUUGUAGUGCUAUAAGUUGUGAAAGAAAUUAAAGUGUUUUUCAACAUGUAAGUCUUUUUUUUACAUGUUUUCUAUGUUUUACAAAUAAAUCAGUUUUUUACAGAAAAUUUGUGUUUUAAAGAGAAACCAGUUUUUUUCUUCAGAAAGAAAAAUUUUUUGCUGGAAUUUGUUUAUAUUGCUGGAAAAUCUGUUUCUUUUUUUUUUCGAAAAUUAUGUUUUUUUUUUCUUACUUUCUUUGAUUAGUGAAGUGGUAGAGGUCACUGGAGCUAUUAUGCCUCGUCAAAUGCUUCCCAAUCUUGUAAUCCUUUACAGAAAAACCAUAUAGAUCAAAUUCAACGGAUACAAUAUUAUCUCGACAAAACUUACAUACAGAUACAAGGUUUUUGAGAACAUUUGGAGUGUGGAGUAUUGUCUUUUAGGUGUAUAGGUUUGGAUGGGUGAGGUAAUAGGGUGUGACCUGAUACUUGAUUACCAUUUCCAAUAAACACAGACUUAAUAGAAGACAUACAGGGAGUAGAAAUUUUACUUGCGUCCGCGAUAAGGUGAGUGGUAGCUCCUCAGUCCAUAUAGUCCAUGUACCACUGGUUGUCGUUGGGGUCAAGAUUCACGGCAGAAAGUUGCCCAAGGUGUGGCCCAUCCUCGUUAAGUAGGAUAUGGGCAAGGUGGUGGGGAAGCCCACCAAGGAGCAGCCGAAAAGGGUGAUGGGAAAUUGGACCAUGGGGGUCAAUUUUGACCAGAUGAGUGCACCGAUUGUUCAAAUACGAGGGAGCUGUCGAUUUUUGACCAGACGAAGGACCGCGAUGAGUGGGUUGAUUUCUGCCUCUUUUGAGAACCAGAUGGAGAAAAUCGUCGACUAGUGUUACGUGGAUGAGAUUGGCGACUCUUGUUAACAGAAUCACGUCAUGGCAUAGAGUUGGACGGUGGUUCAUGAUAACGAUGGCAGCAACCUCCAUAGGCGAGUGGUUGUCCUGGGCACUUUGGCGCUGGUUCUCAAGUUGUAGCAUGAAGCAGGCGGUAUCCCAUGUAAGUAAGGUUGGUUGAUGUAGGCAGCCACGGUGUCGAAUUCGAAGGUUAGACCACGACCCAGUUGUACAACGAGACGAUUCUCGUUGACUAGGCAUUCCACAUCGUUAAGCUGACUAGAUAGGUCUUUGAGGCGUUGGCAAUAUGCUUCAAGGGAUGUCAUGGCUCAGAGUGUCAUGUUGUUGAACUCGUGCUCUAGGGUUGCAGCCCGAGAGCCCUUAUUGUUGAGGAAGAUGUUUUAAACUUUGGACCAAGUUUCGUAUGCAGUGGAGUCUGGUUCAAGCAUUCGAGCAAGAAGGUCAUCAGAAAUUGUCCCAUAGAUCCACUGAAGGAUGAUAGCAUCGAUUUCUGAUCAGGCUGGAUAUGUCUUAGCUGGAGGAUUUGUACCAUCGAUGUGGGAGAGGACUUUGUAACCUUUAGUGUGAAGUGUGAACAGUCUUACCCAUGAAGAGUACGUGACCUUAGUGCCAUCUAGAAUCCGUACCUUGUUCUGUAUGUUUGUUACAGUGUAAGCUGGGUGGAUUGAUUUGAUGGGGUUGGGUUAUUCGGACAUCUUGGAAUAUUAGGAGAUGGCGGACAAGACUAAAAAAGAAAUGGACAAGAAAAUGGCAUGGCCAUGGCUGUGGAAGGAGAAUAAAAUCGGUAAUGAGCCCUUGGCUCUAAUACCAUGUAAUUGUUUGAGAUUCGAAUGCCCAUCUCAUUGAUAUUCCACUUAAUAUAUUCUGAGAAUUAUAGAGAGAAAGGGGGAAACCUAACAAACUAGAGCUAAAUAUGGUACAGACCAUGGACAAUAAUUACAUAGAAUACAAUAUAGAAAUCUGAAAUAUAUGGCAGGUAUAUUUCGGCUAAUAACAACCACCUUAACUAAAACCCAAAUAUUAACUUUCUAGAAGGUAUAAAGCAUAAUUCGUCUCCCAAAUAUAAACUUUCUAGAAGGUACAAAGCAUAAUGUCUUUAAAUCUAGUAAAAUAAUACUGUUUAGUUGAAUUUAAUUAAUAGGUAAAUCUAAUUAAUUAGUAUAAAAAUAUUGGUGUUAAAAUGACGUAGCAUAAACCGAAAUUUAAUAUAAGUACAUAUUUAAAAAAAACAAACAUGUUGUGCAUGCNNNNNNNNNNNNNNNNNNNNNNNNNNNNNNNNNNNNNNNNNNNNNNNNNNNNNNNNNNNNNNNNNNNNNNNNNNNNNNNNNNNNNNNNNNNNNNNNNNNNNNNNNNNNNNNNNNNNNNNNNNNNNNNNNNNNNNNNNNNNNNNNNNNNNNNNNNNNNNNNNNNNNNNNNNNNNNNNNNNNNNNNNNAUAUAUAUUUAUUUCUUAAAAAGAUGUUUUUUUUACGCGGUAAUGUUUGGUGGAUAGUGGAUACUUUAGACAAAAGUAAAUUUUAAAUAUUAUAUAUUCGGUGUAUUGAAAAAAAAAGAGUAUUUAUAUAUAUAAUUCUUGACCUCGUCAUUGAGGUAGCUGUUCUUGAAGAAACUACAGUCAUAGUCAUGGGGAAGCUAUGGUUAUUAUUUCUCUUCUUAAUUUUUGCAACCACAAACUUGUGUUUUGGUUGUUUGGAAGAAGAGAGGCAAGCUCUUCUCCAAUUCAAACAUAGCCUUGCACCCAAACCUUCUGGUAGACUAUCAUCAUGGAAAGGAAACAAGUGUUGUGAGUGGCAAGGCAUCGGAUGCGAUAAUGCAACCGGACAUGUUACCAUGCUUGAUCUCGGAAGCAAUAUUUCCAGUUCUUACAUGCAAUUAGAGGGAAACGAGUUGAAUUCGAAUUUGGUCGAGUUGACUCAUUUGAGUUACAUGGACUUGAGUGGGGUCCUUUUUCGCAGCAUCCCGAUUCCGGACUUCAUCGGGUCGAUGACACAACUCAGAUAUCUGUAUCUUUAUUUCGCAGGAUUUUCUGGCAUCAUUCCUCAUGGAAUUGGAAAUCUGUCGAGUUUGCGGGAAUUAGAUCUUUCUGGAAACCAAUUGACAGGUUCGAUUCCAACAUCUUUUGGAAACCUGGUGAUGCUUCGGAAACUAGAUUUAUCUCUGAACCUGUUAAACGGUCCGAUUCCAUUCUCCCUUGGACGACUAUCGAAUCUAGAAAUCUUGUAUCUCAACUCCAAUUCAUUGUCUGAGAUUCCGUUGUCGAUAGGAAACCUCUCACAACUCCAGUUUCUCGAUUUAUCAAAAAACCUAUUACAAAUCCCUCUUCCGGAUACCAUCGGACAGCUUUCUAAACUUGAAUUUCUCGAUAUAUCCAACACUUCUUUAUCGGGUGUAAUCACCGAAGCCCAUUUUGCCAACACAUCAAUGUUAAAACACUUGGAUGCAAGGUGGAACCAUAUGUUGAGCUUCACGAUUUCAUCUGAUUGGAACCCUCCUUUCCAAAUUAGAAACAUUCUACUCGAAUCUUGCAAAAUCGAAUCAGAAUUUCCAUCAUGGAUUCGAAUGCAACGGAGUCUUGUGAUUCUAAACCUUUCUAAUACUAGCAUUUUUGGAGCUCUUCCAGUUUGGCUUCGCGACCUCCCUAUCAUCAUGAUCCUUGAUCUCUCCCACAACUUUCUCAAUGGUCCGUUGACAAACCUUCCAUCCAACCGAACAACCGAGUCCUUUACAACUUUUCCCUUUACCGAACGCUUAGUAGGUUAUGGGAGAGGAUCCGCAUUGUUGGUUCUUAGGAACAACCUCUUCAACGGAUCGAUUCCAGAUUCAUUGUGUUAUGCUACAAAGAUCUAUGUUCUAGAUCUUUCUAAAAAUAUGCUAUCCGGGACCCUUCCUGAUUGUAUCGGAGAUCUCCUUGAACUGAAUUGUAUUGUAUUAAGCUCCAACCGGCUAUCGGGUGUCAUUCCAAGCUCUUUAGGCAAUCUUGGUUCUUCACUAAAUUGGUUACAACUAAACAACAAUAGCUUCCAUGGCGAACUUCCAGAAACUCUAGCAAACUGCACAGAUUUGGAUCUGUUGGAUUUGGGUGAAAACCAAUUCUCUGGAAGCAUUCCAAAAUGGUUGGGUGAAAAGGUCAUGUUUAUGAGAGUUCUCAGGCUACAUAAAAACAACUUCACAGGUCCAAUUCCUUUAGAGCUGUGUGAAAGCAGUGAACUUCAAAUCAUGGAUCUUGGAGACAACAACUUAACAGGAACGAUCCCUUUCUGUUUCCAGAAGUUGAGUGGAAUGACCGGAGGCUACUCUGACAUGGAUUUUUUAGGCAGAUUCGAGCAGAGUUUGACUCAGGUAAUGAAAGGAGUUGCACUCGAGUAUACAACGAAGAUAAAAUACAUCGUGAACAUGGACCUUUCAAGCAAUAAACUGGUAGGGGAAAUACCCAAGGAAUUGGUACUUCUUGCAGGAUUGGUUGGUCUUAACCUCUCAAACAAUCACCUCACGGGUCGCAUUCCAGAUAGAAUUGGUGAUAUGAAAUCAUUAUUCUCUCUUGAUCUUUCUGUCAACAGUCUUUCAGGGAUGAUCCCACAGAGUAUGUCUGCAUUGACAUCUCUUAGCCAGCUGAAUUUGUCACACAACAAGUUAUCAGGGCAAAUUCCAACAGGAAGUCAGCUCCAGACACUCAUUGAUCCAUCCAUAUACGCAGCCAAUAACCAACUUUGUGGAAGUCCGCUACCUACCAGUUGCAAACAUGAUCAAGUCCUGGAAGUUGGAAGAAACACCGAGGAAGAUGAAGAUGAUGAUGGUUUUGAAAUGAUGUGGAUUUACGGUGUAACGAGCGGUUUCACAACGGGGUUUAUGGGUAUUUUGGGAAUUUUGGUGCUUAAGAAUAGAUGGAGACAUGCUUUCUUCAAUUUUGUGGGAGGCUACAUCGGAAAGAAACUAUGAAACUAAGAAACAAAUGACAAUGAUUGAUCAAACUUGCAGAGUUUGCUUCAUGUUUUCAACAACGGAAAGCGCAAGGGGCAAUGGGACCUUAGCAAAUGCAGAAAUUUCAAAUUUUGUUUAUGAUAUGAUUUUGUAUAGAUGUUUUCUCCUCCUUAACUUUUUGUUGUUCUGGAGUUGGUAGUUUGAUUUUGGCUUACAUUGACCGUUUUAUCUUGUGUAUGAAUUUGUCUUUCAUGUGUUCCAUUAUCUACAAUAUGUGGAAACUAGAUAUUAACCAAAAGCAUUAGAGGUUGUUAUGCAGAAAUUUCAAAUUUUGUUUAUGAUAUGAUUUUGUAUAGAUGUUUUCUCCUCCUUAACUUUUUGUUGUUCUGGAGUUGGUAGUUUGAUUUUGGCUUACAUUGACCGUUUUAUCUUGUGUAUGAAUUUGUCUUUCAUGUGUUCCAUUAUCUACAAUAUGUGGAAACUAGAUAUUAACCAAAAGCAUUAGAGGUUGUUAUGCAAAAAAAAAAAAAAAAAAAAAAAAAAAANNNNNNNNNNNNNNNNNNNNNNNNNNNNNNNNNNNNNNNNNNNNNNNNNNNNNNNNNNNNNNNNNNNNNNNNNNNNNNNNNNNNNNNNNNNNNNNNNNNNNNNNNNNNNNNNNNNNNNNNNNNNNNNNNNNNNNNNNNNNNNNNNNNNNNNNNNNNNNNNNNNNNNNNNNNNNNNNNNNNNNNNNNNNNNNNNNNNNNNNNNNNNNNNNNNNNNNNNNUUUUUUAAAAAAAAAAAAAAAAAAAAAAAAAAAAAAAAAAAUAUCACCAUGAGUAGUUAGAACUAGCAAGCUUAAACGAGCUAAUCUAACAAUAACAAGUAUGAACGGCUAAAUGGAUCUUCAAAUGAAACACAUCUUGAUUGAGUUUAUUUGGGUGAAUGAAAAGAGAGACUACUUGAUUUGGUGAAGGCAAAAGAUUACGCUAACAAAUCAUAAUAAAAUCUUUUAACAAAUUAAAAAAUACAAAGCAGCAACAAUAUACAAAACCCUAAAUAUGAAAUCUAUUAACAAUUAGCAAGAAUGCUGAUUAAUGUAUAAGUGAUAUGCAACAACUAAGUCAAAUUGUUAUAAACCCUAACAAAUAACAAAUAACACUUAAAUCAAUUAAGAAAACACAAACUAGAAGGCAACAACAAAAUAGAAAAUAAAACACAGAUUAAUGUACAAGUGGUGAGCAUCAAGCCAGCAACAAAAUUGAAAAUACCUCUUUCGUAAACAACAAAAUUUAAGCAACAGCAGAAAAAUGAGAGCAGCCGGCUUCAGUCCGGCGAGCAGUUAGCCAAGAAAGAGAAGCGAAGUGAGAAACGAGUGGGCGACUGAGCGGUUGUAGCAGCUCACAGCGGGCGACAACUGGGCAGCAUUAAGUUAGAGUUUACAAAUGGGUAAAUGUGAUGUAGCCCAAGUGCCCAACCCAUUUGUUCUAAAA